UUGACGAUAUCAAGACCUGAUGACCCGCGCUUAGUUCUUGAUGUGGAUCGUGACCAGAAAACAGAGCUCAACGCCCUGAUGUGCUGCACUUUUCUGAUGAUCUGGCUUGAGAGAAACAGACGUGUUUUUGACACAAAGUUGCUUCGAUGUAAUCGGUUGUUACGACGAAAGUUAGGACCGAGCUCUCCCUAUGGAUGAUGGCCAGAGAGUGUGGAUCGGUGGAGGAUGAUAGGAGAGAGGUUCUGUAAGGACAUGUAGUCUGUAACGCUUUUUACCAUGGACUUUUU
rnacentral:lncRNA from 1 species